AGUAAAUUUUUUUCUAUUGGUGUUUGAAAAAACUUAAUAAAGGAAUUCCGUGCAAAUCGGAAGCGGUCCCGCCGCUGUAAUCCUGUCCUAUCCUUAUAAAUAAGAAUAGGCAAGCUUUUUAGCAAUAAGCCACGAGUUUAGAAUUUUAAACUGGGAAGGCGCUAAAAAAGUGCAGGAGAGCCAGAAGACUGACCAGUAGAUGUUUUUUGAA
rnacentral:ncRNA from 2 species